CUACGUGCCAGCAGCCGCGGUAAUACGUAGGUGGCAAGCGUUGUCCGGAUUUAUUGGGCGUAAAGCGAGCGCAGGCGGUUCCUUAAGUCUGAUGUGAAAGCCCCCGGCUCAACCGGGGAGGGUCAUUGGAAACUGGGGAACUUGAGUGCAGAAGAGGAGAGUGGAAUUCCAUGUGUAGCGGUGAAAUGCGUAGAUAUAUGGAGGAACACCAGUGGCGAAGGCGACUCUCUGGUCUGUAACUGACGCUGAGGCUCGAAAGCGUGGGUAGCAAACAGGAUUAGAUACCCUGGUAGUCCACGCCGUAAACGAUGAGUGCUAAGUGUUGGAGGGUUUCCGCCCUUCAGUGCUGCAGUUAACGCAUUAAGCACUCCGCCUGGGGAGUACGACCGCAAGGUUGAAACUCAAAGGAAUUGACGGGGGCCCGCACAAGCGGUGGAGCAUGUGGUUUAAUUCGAAGCAACGCGAAGAACCUUACCAGGUCUUGACAUCCCGAUGCUAUUUCUAGAGAUAGAAAGUUA
rnacentral:rRNA from 1 species